GCCCGCCCUUGUACAGCUUCAUGUUGAGGCUGCUUGUUUUCUGAGCUGACAGGAAUCUGAGGCAGACUUGGUUGAAUUCACCUGCAAUCUUCUGAAAGUGUGACCAGGGUCUUAGCUACAAACUAGGGCGGUAAGGAUCUGAAGUCUCCUGGAAGCCUGACCCGGGUCUGGGCUGGGGUUGGAACGGCUGGAAUGCGGAUGUUUUAGGAACUGGAUGGACCUUGACUAGGAGUUGAAUCAGGACUGUCUGCUGUGGACCUUGGUUCUUCUCUUCGUGGCAACUGCAUGUGGCUUCCUGUAUCGCCUCACAGCCUAGUGGCUGGCUUCCAAGAAGGACUAUGCCAACACCCUCUGGUUUCCACUGGACUUCUUCCCUUUAAGGAGACUGCGAGGGAAGACUGAGACAAUCGUGGCUGGAGCACGCCUUAAAGCAGACCUGAUUUUUCCAUAGGACACCUUGACCCAGUUCACAGAUUGCGGUCUCCAGGCUACAGAUAGGACUUGUUGAGGCUUCAAAAUCAAAGGUGCUGCUCCAGUCUACACAGCUUUGGACUCAUCACCCAGGAUACUUUGCUGUCCUGGGAUCAAGCACCUGAAGCUGUCCUGAGGCUUCAUUCUUCAUGUGAGCUUCAGGAGUCGGAUUUACCUGAUUCUCCCCUUAGUGAUGCUUUCUGUGACAAAGUCACAAAUAUUUCCAAGUGUUGCUGUAGACUGAGACGGCCAGAGUCAUCCCAUGGUCACCUGCUGGAGGCAAUCUGCUGCUGUCACUUGACAAGAGUGUGUGAAUCAGACAUGGCCUUUUAGGAUAAUAUAUAGAAUAUGAAGACUUCCCCCCACCCACCUCGCCCCUUACCACCGGCAGCACUCAGGAGAGCAGGCGCUGCACCUUGCCUGGGCAGCAGGGUAGAGCUGGCCCUGGUGGAGGGGGCAUCCGUGAACCAGCUGGAGGGCAAGAGCGCUGUACUCUCCCGGAGAACAAGCCCUGAACCUCACCUGAACAACACAGUGGAACUGUCCCUGAUGGUGAAGGCACUGGUGAGCUAGCCUCAAGGAUGUGAGGGCAGGAGAGCUGGCUCUUCACAGACUGCAGUACUUGGAAGAGUGGGCCCCCCAUUUUGACUGGGAAGCACAGUAGAACUGGCUCUGGAGGCAUGGGGGGGGCGGGGCCCACCCCACCCAAAGGACAUGGGAGCAGGAGAGCUGACCCUGCCUCCUGCUGACACACUGUGACACACUACAGCUUCCACAAUGAGAUGUUUUCUAAGCUUUGUUUGUUUGUUUGUAUGUAUGUAUUUUAGUGGGGAGGUUGCAAGGUCCAAGAGUGGAUAUGAAGCAUUGGGUGCCCUAGCUGGAGCAGUGUUAGAGAGCUCCCCCUGGUGCUGCAGAAAAGGGAGAGCCAGUGGGCUGAGUAGCCUACCUGCCAUCCAGGCCCGGAUACAGACUCUGAGUUGGCCCAACCCCAAGUCUACAUCAUCUGCAAAUGGUUGGGGUACAUGAAAGGCUGGUCCUGCUGAUCCAAAGCUGCAGAUCUUCAUUACACAGGACAACAGGAUGACUGGGAGGAAUCCCAGUGAGGUUUCAGUAUUGAUGGCGUCACAGAAGCCAGAGAUUUUGAACCAGACCAAUGACGUGAACAUUUGCAAGUGAGAAUGUGUGGAGAGAGGGGUAUACUGUGGACACACUGUGACACACUACAGCUUCCACAAUGAGAUGUUUUCUAAGCUUU